rnacentral:rRNA from 1 species
GGAUGCGAUCAUACCAGCACUAAAGCACCGGAUCCCAUCAAAACUCCGAAGUUAAGCGUGCUUGGGCGAGAGUAGUACUAGGAUGGGUGACCUCUUGGGAAGUCCUUGUGUUGCAUUUC